CGGGGCGUAGCUCAGCCUGGUUAGAGCGCCUGGUUUGGGGCCAGGAGGCCGGAGGUUCGAAUCCUCUCGCCCCGA
rnacentral:tRNA from 1 species